ACCUCUUCCAGGAUUUGCUCAUCUUCUCCUUCCCUCUAUUGCCAUUGUAAUUGUCUAUAGUGCAACUUCUUUUUCUUUUAUUUUCCCUCUUGGUUUUGGUUCACAUUUUUUUCUGGAUUUUCAUCUUUGUUUUUCUGAGCUCAAGGCGAUGAAGAAGGUAGUGCUGGAAUUGCAAAUACAUAAUGAAAAAGAUCAGCAAAAAGCCAUGAAGAGAGUUUGUGCCCCUCCAGGUAUUCAAUUUAAACAAAACUCUGUAAGUUCGCUUUCUUGAUUUUAAUUUGUUUGCCAGUGAUCUAAGAAAACUUACUAUUUGAUUUCAUCACUUUCCAAAACAAAUAAAUUUAAGGAUUUUUUAAGUUGAUUUUUAGGAAUCGAUUCAAUCUCAGUAGACUGGAAAAGUAAGAAAAUGACAAUAAAUGGAGAUUUUGAUCCUGUGCUCGUAGUGAACAAAUUGAGGAAGCGUCAUCCCACAGAACUAAUCUCUGUAGAACCACCAAAAAACCCUGAACCGAUACAGGAAAAGCCAACGAAGCCUGCAGAGGGAGAUCAUAGUCGUGGUCAUUAUUAUUAUCCUGCUCCUCUUUAUUGUUAUAUUCCAGAGGAAUAUCAUAGUCCUUGUGUUAUUUUCUAAUCACUUGUCAGGGGAAAAUAAUUGAAAAGAUGUGUUUAUCAGUUGUCGAUCUUGAAUUUGGAUCUCACAAAGAUUCUCUAGACGAUAUCUUAGUGUGCUCUUUUUAUUGUUGGAACUGGCGUUAGUGUAUGGUUUUCUUUCUCCCUCCUUCCUAAUGGUUGAUGUAUUAUUGAG
rnacentral:misc_RNA from 1 species